rnacentral:rRNA from 1 species
AUGGAUUGGUCAUCUCUCAGCUGUUCCGCUUGCGUACUGAUCAUUCUGUUCCUGCCGUUGGGUGCAUCUGAUGACCGGCUUGUCCCCGGCAAGCCGCUCUCCCCCGGCACAACCAUUGUCUCGGAUGGCGGUGACUUCGCCUUGGGCUUCUUCUCAUCCGGCUCGAUGCCGUCCAACCUGUACCUCAGCAUCUGGUACAACGGCAUCCCCGAGCUCACCAUGGUAUGGGUCGCCAACCGGGAAACCCCGGUCACGAACAGCACUUCCUCCGCGUCGACGCUCUCCCUCACCAGCACCUCCAAUCUUGUUCUCUCUGAUGGUGCUGACAGUCAUGUUGUCUGGACAACUGACGUGGCUUCCUCAAGCUCGUCUUCACCAGUGGCGGUGCUUCUGAAUACUGGUAACCUCGUCAUCCAGUCACCUAAUGGCAGCAGGGUGUGGCAGAGCUUUGACCACCCGACCGACACGUUCCUACCUGGCAUGAAGAUGCGGAUCAGGUACAGGACACGCGCCGGUGAGCGCCUGGUGUCCUGGAAAGACGCCAGAGACCCCUCUCCUGGGAGCUUCUCCUACGGCUGUGAUCCGGCCACGUCCAUCCAGAUGUUCCUCUGGGACGGGUCGCGCCCGGUGUACCGCAGCACCCCAUGGACGGGGUACCAGGUGAAGAGCGAGGGCGAGUUCCUGAUAACCAACACCAGCGCCAUCAUCAUAUCCCUGGCCUUUGUCACCAACGACGAGGAGAGCUACACAAUGUUUAGCGUCUCGGAUGGUGCCUGGCACACCAGGUUCGUGCUGACCUUCUCUGGCAAGCUCCAGUUCCAAAGCUGGAAUAGUAGCUCUUCGACUUGGGUAGUCUUUGGGCAGUGGCCACGCCACAAAUGCAAUCACUAUGGCUACUGCGGCACGCAUGGCUACUGCGAUGAGACAAUGUUGCCCGUCCCGACGUGCAAGUGCCUCGAUGGUUUUGAGCCAACGAGCACGGAGGAGUGGAACAACAGUGAGUUCUCAAAGGGGUGUCGACGGAAAGAGGCGCUGCGUUGCGGUGAUGGUUUCUUCGCCUUGCCGGGCAUGAAGCCACUGGAUAGGUUCGUGGUCGUUGGAAACACAUCGUCGAAGGAGUGUGCGACGGCAUGCGGCCGCAACUGCUCCUGCAUGGCCUACGCUUACACCAACCUGAGCAGAAGCAUUGCCAACGGAGACAUGACAAGGUGCUUGGUGUGGGUUAGGGAAUUAGUUGACACCGGGAAGCUAGGCACAAGCACCGACAGCGAUACGCUCUAUCUGUGA